rnacentral:rRNA from 1 species
AUUGAACGCUGGCGGCAGGCCUAACAAAUGCAAGUAGAACGAGAGGCGGACGGGUGAGUAAUGUCUGGGAAAAUGCCUGAUGGAGGGGGAUAACUACUGGAAACGGUAGCUAAUACCGCAUACCAUCGGAUGUGCCCAGAUGGGAUUAGCUAGUAGGUGGGGUAAAGGCUCACCUAGGCGACGAUCCCUAGCUGGGCUGAGAGGAUGAACAGCCACACUGGAACUGAGCCACGGUCCAGACUCCUACGGGAGGCAGCAGUGGUGAAUAUUGCACAAUGGGCGCAAGCCUGAUGCAGCCAUGCCGCGUGUCUGAAGAGGGCCUUCGGGUUGUAAGGAGCUUUCAGCGGUGAGGCGUUACCCGCAGAAGAAGGACCGGCUAGCUCCGUGCCAGCAGCCGCGGUAAUAC